rnacentral:rRNA from 1 species
AACCUGGUUGAUCCUGCCAGUAGUCAUAUGCUUGUCUCAAAGAUUAAGCCAUGCAUGUGUAAGCACACACUGUUUUAAAAGUGAAGCCGCGAAUGGCUCAUUACAACAGCCACAGUUUAUUAGAACUUACAAUCAUGGAUAACUGUGGUAAUUCUAGAGCUAAUACACGCACAAAAACUUCAACUGAAUUGGUUGAAGUGCUUUUAUUAGAACAAAAACCGAACGGCGUUUGACGAAUGUUGAACGUCGAAACUGUUUGGUGAAUCUGAAUAACUAUUUCUGAUCGCAUGGUCUAGCACCGGCGACAUCACUUUCAAGUGUCUGCCUUAUCAACCUUCGAUGGUAGUCUAUGCGACUACCAUGGUGAUAACGGGUAACGGAGAAUCAGGGUUCGACUCCGGAGAGGGAGCCCGAGAAACGGCUACCACAUCCAAGGAAGGCAGCAGGCGCGCAAAUUACCCACUCCCAGCUUGGGGAGGUAGUGACGAAAAAUAACGAGACGAUUCUCGUUUGAGAAACGUUAUCGAAAUGAGUACGCUUUACACACGCUAACGAGUAGCAAUUGGAGGGCAAGUCUGGUGCCAGCAGCCGCGGUAAUUCCAGCUCCAAUAGCGUAUAUUAAAGUUGCUGCGGUUAAAACGCUCGUAGUUGAAUUGUGGUCUUAGACAACAGUCCCCCUACAAAGGUGUGGCACGGUUGCUCGAGAUCUUCAUUCGUGGUUGCUGUUGUUGCUCUUCAUUGAGUGUCAAUGGUGCCUCGAGAUUUUACUUUGAAAAAAUUAGAGUGCUCAAAGCAGGUUGUGAUGCCUGAAUAAUGGUGCAUGGAAUAAUAGAAUACGAUCUCGGUUCUAUUUUGUUGGUUUUCGAACCGGAGAUAAUGAUUGAAAGGAACAGACGGGGGCAUUCGUAUUGCUGCGUUAGAGGUGAAAUUCUUGGAUCGCAGCAAGAUGAACAAUUGCGAAAGCAUUUGCCAAGAAUGUUUUCAUUAAUCAAGAACGAAAGUUAGAGGUUCGAAGGCGAUCAGAUACCGCCCUAGUUCUAACGGUAAGCUAUGCCAACCAGCGAUUCGCCGAAGUUCAUUUAAGACUCGGCGAGCAGCUUCCGGGAAACCAAAGUGUUUCGGUUCCGGGGGAAGUAUGGUUGCAAAGCUGAAACUUAAAGGAAUUGACGGAAGGGCACCACCAGGAGUGGAGCCUGCGGCUUAAUUUGACUCAACACGGGAAAACUCACCCGGCCCGGACACUGGAAGGAUUGACAGAUUGACAGCUCUUUCUUGAUUCAGUGGGUAGUGGUGCAUGGCCGUUCUUAGUUGGUGGAGCGAUUUGUCUGGUUAAUUCCGAUAACGAACGAGACUCUACCCUAUUAAAUAGUGACAGUAUUGUAUUUUUUGUGCUGAUCACUUCUUAGAGGGACUGGCAAAUUGAAAGCUGCACGAAAAAGAGCAAUAACAGGUCUGUGAUGCCCUUCGAUGUCCGGGGCUGCACGCGCGCUACAAUGAAAGCGUCAACGUGAGUUACGUCCUUACCUGAAAAGGUUUGGCAAUCGAAUGAAACGUUUUCUUGAAUGGAAUAGGGAAUUGCAAUUGUUUCCCUUGAACGAGGAAUUCCCAGUAAGCGUGAGUCAUUAGCUCGCGUUGAUUACGUCCCUGCCCUUUGUACACACCGCCCGUCGCUACUACCGAUUGGAUGAUUUAGUGAGGUGUUUUGACUGGCGCCAGUAGUUGGAUAUGUAUUCGGCUUCGCGCCGGGAAAUUUCCCAAACCAAAUCAUCUAGAGGAAGUAAAAGUCGUAACAAGGUUUCCGUAGGUGAACCUGCGGAAGGAUCAUUA